CCCGUCCCGUCCGGCCCCCAGCGCCCCUCAGCCGCCGGACGCGCCAUCCGGCCGGCUGCAGCCGCAUCGCUGGCCCUCCGCCCGCCCAGACCCGCUCGUACCAUGUCUUCCGAGGUGGCGCGGCACCUGCUCUUUCAGUCUCACAUGGCAACAAAAACAGCUCAUAUGUCCCCACAAGUAUUUGACAAUGAAGAGAAACAAAAAAAAGAAAAUACUCGUUCUUUAGCCAUGUCUGGCCAUGUUGGUUUUGAGAGUCUGCCUGAUCAGCUGGUCAACAGAUCAAUUCAGCAAGGCUUCUGCUUUAAUAUUCUCUGCGUGGGGGAGACUGGAAUUGGAAAAUCAACGCUGAUUGACACACUAUUUAAUACGAAUUUUGAAGACCAUGAAUCCUCACAUUUUUACCCACAUGUUAGACUUAAAGCCCAGACAUAUGAACUCCAGGAAAGUAACGUUCGAUUGAAAUUGACCAUCGUGAAUACAGUGGGAUUUGGUGACCAAAUAAACAAAGAAGAGAGCUACCAACCAAUUGUUGACUACAUCGACGCUCAGUUUGAGGCCUAUCUCCAAGAAGAGUUGAAAAUCAAACGCUCCCUCUUUAACUACCACGACUCUCGCAUCCACGUGUGCCUCUACUUCAUCUCCCCAACAGGCCACUCUCUGAAGACACUGGAUCUCUUGACCAUGAAAAGCCUGGACAGCAAGGUGAACAUUAUACCAGUGAUUGCCAAAGCAGAUGCAAUUUCUAAAACUGAAUUACAGAAGUUUAAGAUCAAGCUUAUGAGUGAAUUGGCCAGCAAUGGUGUUCAGAUAUACCAGUUCCCAACAGAUGAUGAAACUAUUGCUAAAGUCAAUGCUUCAAUGAAUGGACACUUGCCGUUUGCUGUGGUAGGAAGUAUGGAUGAGGUGAAAGUUGGAAAUAAGAUGGUUAAAGCUCGCCAGUACCCUUGGGGCAUCGUACAAGUGGAAAAUGAAAACCACUGCGACUUUGUCAAGCUCCGGGAGAUGCUCAUUUGUACGAACAUGGAGGAUCUGCGAGACGAGACGCACACGAGGCAUUACGAGCUGUACCGGCGCCGCAAACUGGAGGAGAUGGGCCUCACAGACACGGGCCCAGAGAACAAGCCGCUCAGGUGGCUUGAUUUUCCUCCUGAACAACUCAAGUGCUUGUUCUUCAGGAGACCUACGAAGCCAAAAGACACGAAUUUUAUGGUGAACGUCAGAGGAAGGAGGAAGAAAUGAAGCAGUUGUUUGUACAGCGUGUGAAGGAGAAAGAAGCUGUAUUGAAAGAAGCUGAGAGAGAGCUCCAGGCCAAGUUUGAGCACCUUAAGAGAGUACACCAAGAGGAGAAGCUGAGGCUUGAGGAGAAGAGAAGACUUCUGGAAGAAGAAAUAAUCGCCUUCUCUAAGAAGAAAGCUACCUCCGAGAUAUACCAAAGCCAGCCCUUUAUGACCCCGGGUGGUAACGUGCGGAAGGAC